UUCCUACGGGAGGCAGCAGGCACUAAUCCUUCACAAUGCACGAAAGUGCGAUGGGGGGACUCCGAGUGCGUUCUUCCCACAAGGAAGGACGCUUUUCUGCACUCUAAGACGGUGCAGGAACAAGGGGCGGGCAAUACUGCUGCCAGCCGCCGCGGUAAUAGCAGAACCCCGAGUGGUGGUCGCUAUUAUUGGGCUUAAAGCGUUCGUAGCCGGCCGUGCAAGUCCGCUGUGAAAUCCACGCGCUUAACGUGUGGGCGUGCAGCGGAUACUGCACGGCUAGGGACCGGACGGCGCUGGAGCUAUUCCCGGGGUAGGAGUGAAAUCCUAAAAUCCCGGGAGGAGCGCCUGUGGCGAAAGCGUCCAGCGAGUACGGAUCCGACGGUGAGGAACGAAAGCCAGGGGAGCAAAGCGGAUUAGAUACCCGCGUAGUCCUGGCCGUAAACAUUGCGCGUUUGAUGUCGGGCAACCCUCGUGGUUGUCCGGUGCCGAAGUGAAAACGUUAAACGCGCCGCCUGGGGAGUACGGUCGCAAGGCUGAAACUCAAAGGAAU
rnacentral:rRNA from 1 species